UGCAGCGUGCCAUUGUCGUACGGAGGGGUGACUUGCAUUACAUCCUCAAGUACAAGCGUCUUGAAAAGCGCCACAAGAACAUGUCUGCGCACCUGCCCCCCCGCUUCAGAAUUCCCCUUUGCCUUCCAGAGCUGUCCAAAUUGGGGAUAUUGUGACUGUUGGGGAAUGUCGAACCUAUCAGCCAGAUUACUGAUUCAACAUCUGCAAAGUCAUAAGGGCAGCUGGCACCAAGAAGCUGCUCCAGAAGUUUUAAAGGCAGCAAGUGGAGAAUGUUCAGAAUGAAUAAAGCUUUUCUUAAACCUAGGGAUUUCAUUACCAAAAAAACCAAAACCCACCAGGUUGGGGAUGCCAAAAUGUAUGAGAUAAUUUGACUGGGGACCGGGAUACCUCCCCCACUGGAAUUGCAGAUGGACCCAGGGGAGGCACUGCCAGGCCUAGGGUCAGGGAGGACCUAGUUAGGGAACUUUUGGAGGGGCUGUGCAUGUUUAAAUCAUAGUCAGAUGGCUACUGCCGGAGCCCUGGGAGAUCCCUAGGAUCCCAUGUAAGGCUGCUCUGGCCAUCCCAGAUGCUGGCCCCAGCCUCCCCUACCCCACCCAGAGCAACUUGCUGCAUGUCAAAAAUAUGUGCUGCUGCUCAUCCCUGGGGACUGCAUGCUCAUGGGGAUGUGCCCACUUGGAGUUAAAAAUAAAAUAGAACAAAAGGAAAGUGCUGCCA
rnacentral:lncRNA from 1 species